rnacentral:rRNA from 1 species
GAUGAACGCUAGCGGCAGGCUUAACACAUGCAAGUCGAGGGGCAGCGUGAUGAAGUAGCAAUACGGAUUUGACGGCGACCGGCGCACGGGUGCGUAACGCGUAUGCAACCUACCUUUAACAGGGGGAUAACACUGAGAAAUUGGUACUAAUACCCCAUAACACUUUGGGAGGCAUCUCCUAAGGUUGAAAGUUCCGGCGGUUAGAGAUGGACAUGCGUUGUAUUAGCUAGAUGGUGAGGUAACGGCUCACCAUGGCGACGAUACAUAGGGGUACUGAGAGGUUAACCCCCCACGCUGGUACUGAGACACGGACCAGACUCCUACGGGAGGCAGCAGUGAGGAAUAUUGGUCAAUGGACGCAAGUCUGAACCAGCCAUGCCGCGUGCAGGAAGACGGCUCUAUGAGUUGUAAACUGCUUUUGUACAAGGGUAAACCUCGGUACGUGUACCGAGCUGAAAGUACUGUACGAAUAAGGAUCGGCUAACUCCGUGCCAGCCGCCGCAGUAACAC